CCUACGGGUGGCAGCAGUCGAGAAUCAUUCACAAUGGGGGAAACCCUGAUGGUGCGACGCCGCGUGGGGGAAUGAAGGUCUUCGGAUUGUAAACCCCUGUCAUGUGGGAGCAAAUUAAAAAGAUAGUACCACAAGAGGAAGAGACGGCUAACUCUGUGCCAGCAGCCGCGGUAAUACAGAGGUCUCAAGCGUUGUUCGGAAUCACUGGGCGUAAAGCGUGCGUAGGCUGUUUCGUAAGUCGUGUGUGAAAGGCGCGGGCUCAACCCGCGGACGGCACAUGAUACUGCGAGACUAGAGUAAGGGAGGGGGAACCGGAAUUCUCGGUGUAGCAGUGAAAUGCGUAGAUAUCGAGAGGAACACUAGUGGCGAAGGCGGGUUCCUGGACAUUAACUGACGCUGAGGAACGAAGGCCAGGGGAGCGAAAGGGAUUAGAUACCCUAGUAGUC
rnacentral:rRNA from 1 species